GGCACAUCUGAAUCUGAUCCGCCCCAUUGCCAUCUUUAUGUGCAUUUGUGAUUAAAUGGGUCACCAAUAGAAUUUAUUGGGCACCAAAAAAACAAAUAAAAAAAACAAUGAACAUCUCUCCCCUUCACAAAAGUCCAACUCCUCCCUUUCAUUCUCUCCGCUCGCUUCCCCCUUCAUUCUCUCUCUCCUCCUUCCUGUAUCCUCUCUCUACCUCUUCUCUUUCAUGCAGCAACGCCUCCGUCCUCCGGUCACCAAUGACCAUCAAAUUAUACCUCCAGAAGCCUCUUCCCUUCCUCUUUCCAACCCUUAAGUUAGUUUCUACAAAUUCGUAGCCGAAUUUUCUGAAUUUCAGAUCUAAGAAACGGUGACCGCGGGUUUUCCGGCCAAUUUUCGGCGAAGUUUUCCGGAAUUGGACCUUAACCCAAGAGGUAAAAAUGAUCAUCUCCUCGUGGCUGUUCCCUACUAUUGAGGACGAAGAAGGUUAACCAAGGUUGUUUCCAACCUGGGCCGAGAAGAAUGGAAGCCUUGGAAUGUUGUGAGUGAAACUAAGGUGAACAUGGUUCUUCUAAAAAAAACUAAGGUUGUGAGUUCGAAUGGAAAAGUGUAACAGAUUCAUCCCCUUCCAUUAACUGAAAACAGGGAUCCAAAGUGCACUAUUUUGGUAGAGAACCUACCUGACGAUCACUACGUGGAGAACCUUAAGAGUAUACUUGGUGAAGCUAGAAGGUAGAGAUAGCAAUUACUAAGGCUCAAGCAUUACGAUGAGCACGUCAUUAUUAAAAAACAUGUUUGGAGGUGUUCAAGAAAAUGUGAAGUCUUUUAAGUGGCAAUUUCCUUCAAAUUUGGUGCCUGUUUCGUACUUUGACGGAUAGUUUCAUAUUUUUUAGUAUAGCUCAUUGGUUUUAGAUCUGAUUUUUUUGAAUAUGUGUUUAGCAAAACUGCAAUUCUGUGUAGUCUAUUAACUAUAUAUAUAGUCUAGAUUAAUGGCCCUUGUUUUUUUUUUUAAAAACAUAUUACAACAUGGCCACCAAUGUAUAAAAAGUAUAUAAUAUUUCAAAGGUGUAACUAU